rnacentral:rRNA from 1 species
GACGAACGCUGGCGGCGUGCUUAACACAUGCAAGUCGAACGGAAAGGCCCUGCUUGCAGGGUACUCGAGUGGCGAACGGGUGAGUAACACGUGGGUGAUCUGCCUUGCACUUCGGGAUAAGCCUGGGAAACUGGGUCUAAUACCGGAUAGGAGCCAUUUUUAGUGUGAUGGUUGGAAAGUUUUUUCGGUGUAGGAUGAGCUCGCGGCCUAUCAGCUUGUUGGUGGGGUAAUGGCCUACCAAGGCGGCGACGGGUAGCCGGCCUGAGAGGGUGGACGGCCACAUUGGGACUGAGAUACGGCCCAGACUCCUACGGGAGGCAGCAGUGGGGAAUAUUGCACAAUGGGCGCAAGCCUGAUGCAGCGACGCCGCGUGGGGGAUGACGGCCUUCGGGUUGUAAACUCCUUUCGCUAGGGACGAAGCUUUUUGUGACGGUACCUAGAUAAGAAGCACCGGCUAACUACGUG